rnacentral:rRNA from 1 species
GAUACGGGACUCAUCCNAGGCCCNGUAAUCGGAAUGAGAACACUUUAAAUCCUUUAACGAGUAUCCAUUGGAGGGCAAGUCUGGUGCCAGCAGCCGCGGUAAUUCCAGCUCCAAUAGCGUAUAUUAAAGUUGUUGCGGUUAAAAAGCUCGUAGUUGGACUUGUGUCCCACGCUGUCGGUUCACCGCCCGUCGGUGUUUAACUGGCAUGGUUCGUGGGACGUCCUGCCGGUGGUGGCGAGUCGAAGGUUCGCGCCCGCUCCGGCUCACGCCGCGAGUGAGGUGGCGUACUGUAGACGGACCCCGAUGAAAUCCUACCGCGGUGCUCUUCACCGAGUGUCGAGGUGGGCCGGCACGUUUACUUUGAACAAAUUAGAGUGCUUAAAGCAGGCCUGUUGCGCCUGAAUACUGUGUGCAUGGAAUAAUGGAAUAGGACCUCGGUUCUAUUUUGUUGGUUUUCGGAACCCGAGGUAAUGAUUAAUAGGGACAGUCGGGGGCAUUCGUAUUGCGACGUUAGAGGUGAAAUUCUUGGAUCGUCGCAAGACGGACCGAAGCGAAAGCAUUUGCCAAGUAUGUUUUCAUUAAUCAAGAACGAAAGUUAGAGGUUCGAAGGCGAUCAGAUACCGCCCUAGUUCUAACCAUAAACGAUGCCAGCUAGCGAUCCGCCGAAGUUCCUCCGAUGACUCGGCGGGCAGCUCCCGGGAAACCGAAGCUUUUGGGUUCCGGGGGAAGUAUGGUUGCAAAGCUGAAACUUAAAGGAAUUGACGGAAGGGCACCACCAGGAGUGGAGCCUGCGGCUUAAUUUGACUCAACACGGGAAACCUCACCAGGCCCGGACAC